rnacentral:rRNA from 1 species
UNUGACUUGAGUGCAGAAGGGGAGAGUGGAAUUCCAUGUGUAGCGGUGAAAUGCGUAGAUAUAUGGAGGAACACCAGUGGCGAAAGCGGCUNUCUGGUCUGUCGCUGACGCUGAGGCUCGAAAGCGUGGGUAGCGAACAGGAUUAGAUACCCUGGUAGUNCACGCCGUAAACGAUGAGUGCUAGGUGUUAGGCCCUUUCCGGGGCUUAGUGCCGGAGCUAACGCAAUAAGCACUCCGCCUGGGGAGUACGACCGCAAGGUUGAAACUCAAAGGAAUUGACGGGGGCCCGCACAAGCGGUGGAGCAUGUGGUUUAAUUCGAAGCAACGCGAAGAACCUUACCAGGUCUUGACAUCCCGAUGCUAUUCUUAGAGAUAGGAAGUUACUUCGGUACAUCGGAGACAGGUGGUGCAUGGUUGUCGUCAGCUCGUGUCGUGAGAUGUUGGGUUAAGUCCCGCAACGAGCGCAACCCUUAUUGUUAGUUGCCAUCAUUAAGUUGGGCACUCUAGCGAGACUGCCGGUAAUAAACCGGAGGAAGGUGGGGAUGACGUCAAAUCAUCAUGCCCCUUAUGACCUGGGCUACACACGUGCUACAAUGGUCGGUACAACGAGUUGCGAGCCGGUGACGGCAAGCUAAUCUCUGAAAGCCGAUCUCAGUUCGGAUGGGAGGCUGCAACUCGCCUCCAUGAAGUCGGAAUCGCUAGUAAUCGCGGAUCAGCACGCCGCGGUGAAUACGUUCCCGGGCCUUGUACACACCGCCCGUCACACCACGAGAGUUUGUAACACCCGAAGUCGGUGAGGUANCCUUUUAGGGGCCAGCCG